AAUCGUGUGAUGCCGGAUCUUUGGGUGGAGAAAGCUCUAAAUUAUCGGAAGAUAAAAGUGAAGAAAAGACAGAUGGAGCGUUGAAAUCCAAUGACGACUCUUUCUGCACUGGACAAAAGUCAACGUUAGCUGAAGCAUCUACAAGUGAAUACCAAAACAAAAAGGCUGAUGAAGAGGCUGAUGAAGAUGCAAAAGAAUGUGACCAUCUAAAGAAAGUUCCGAUCUGUGGAUAUGUUCAUGAUAUUUCGCCAGUAAAGCCGAGCCAAAGUAAUUAUACAUAUUUAAACUUUAAGUUU